GCGUCGGUGGUGUAACGGAAACAUUGGGUCUUCCCACGUUGUGGAAAGAUGGCCUAGCCCCGGGUUCGACUCCCGGCCGACGCA